rnacentral:rRNA from 1 species
GGGUUGGCGGGUGCCUACACAUGCAGUCGAGCGCGAAAGUCCCUUCGGGGGCAAGUAGAGCGGCGGACGGGUGAGUAAUACGUGGAUAAUCUUCCCUCGAGCUUGGGAUAACCCUGCGAAAGCGGGGCUAAUACCGGAUAAGACCACAUGUCAUAUGCCAUGUGGUAGAAGGUGGCUUAUAUUUAUAUGAGCUAUCACUUGAGGAUGAGUCCAUGGCCUAUCAGCUUGUUGGUGAGGUAAGAGCUCACCAAGGCUAUGACGGGUAGCUGGUCUGAGAGGACGACCAGCCACACUGGGACUGAGAUACGGCCCAGACUCCUACGGGAGGCAGCAGUGGGGAAUAUUGGGCAAUGGGCGCAAGCCUGACCCAGCGACGCCGCGUGGGUGAUGAAGGCCUUCGGGUUGUAAAACCCUUUCGUGCGGAAAGAACAGUCUCGUAGCGAAUACCUACGGGAUUUGACGGUACCGCAGGAAGAAGCACCGGCUAACUCCGUGCCAGCAGCCGCGGUAAUACGGAGGGUGCAAGCGUUGUUCGGAAUUAUUGGGCGUAAAGGGCGCGUAGGCGGUAGUGAAAGUCAGAUGUGAAAUCCUCCGGCUCAACUGGAGAACUGCAUCUGAAACUUCACAACUCGAGUACAGGAGAGGGAAACGGAAUUCCCGGUGUAGAGGUGAAAUUCGUAGAUAUCGGGAGGAACACCAGUGGCGAAGGCGGUUUCCUGGCCCUGAUACUGACGCUGAGGCGCGAAAGCGUGGGGAGCAAACAGGAUUAGAUACCCUGGUAGUCCACGCGGUAAACGGUGAACACUAGGUGUGGGAGGUGUAAUACCUUCUGUGCCGAAGCUAACGCGUUAAGUGUUCCGCCUGGGAAGUACGGCCGCAAGGAUG